AUUGAACGCUGCGGCAGGCUUAACACAUGCAAGUCGAGCGAGCGGCGGACGGGUGAGUAAUGCUUAGGAAUCUGCCUAUUAGUGGGGGACAACAUCUCGAAAGGGAUGCUACUACCGCAUACUAUUAGUUGAUCCUAAGUCGUAUUGGCUAGUGGGUGGGGGUAAGUCCUACCAAGGCGACGAUCUGUAGCGGGUCUGAGAGGAUGAUCGGCCACACUGGGAAUGAGACACGGCCCAGACUCCUACGGGAGGCAGCAGUGGGGAAUAUUGGGCAAUGGGGGGAACCCUGAUCCAGCAAUGCCGCGUGAGUGAAGAAGGCCUUAGGGUUGUAAAGCACUGUAGGCGGGGAGGCGUUACUCGAAGAGUAAGCGACGGCUAACUCCGUGCCAGCAGCCGCGGUAAUAC
rnacentral:rRNA from 1 species